AUUGAACGCUGGCGGCAUGCCUUACACAUGCAAGUCGAACGGCAGCACGGGUGCUUGCACCUGGUGGCGAGUGGCGAACGGGUGAGUAAUAUAUCGGAACGUACCUUAUUGUGGGGGAUAACGCAGCGAAAGCUGUGCUAAUACCGCAUAAUCCCUAAGGGGGAAAGCGGGGGACCGUAAGGCCUCGCGCAAUUAGAGCGGCCGAUACCUGAUUAGCUAGUUGGUGAGGUAAAGGCUCACCAAGGCAACGAUCAGUAGCUGGUCUGAGAGGACGAUCAGCCACACUGGGACUGAGACACGGCCCAGACUCCUACGGGAGGCAGCAGUGGGGAAUUUUGGACAAUGGGGGCAACCCUGAUCCAGCAAUGCCGCGUGAGUGAAGAAGGCCUUCGGGUUGUAAAGCUCUUUUGUCAGGGAAGAAACAGCAGCUCUAACACAGCAAGCGAAUGACGGUACCUGAAGAAUAAGCACCGGCUAACUACGUGCCAGCCGCCGCAGUAA
rnacentral:rRNA from 1 species